AUGGAAGAUGUGCAAGCUGCAUCACUAAGUCAAACGGUCACAAAUGAACAGAUUGCAAGUUCACAACAAGACAUUAAAGAUCCAAUCACAUGCAAAGAACAAAUGUUAAGUGAGCUUCAAGAUAAAGCUCAAAGCAUGUCAGACUUACCAAGACGUUCUGAAAGAGUUAAAGUACAAACUGAAAAGAUGCUAACAUACCGAAAGGAAGAAUUGAGCCAAAAGGAAAGGAGACUAACAACUCUUUAUGAACAAUGGAAAAUGCAAGUUCGAGAAACAAGAGAAAAGCUAAAGACAGAUAUCACAGACGAAGAGAUGUCAGAACUUGCAGACAUAAUAGAACAAAGGAGAGACAAUAUAUUGACGUUCUAUUCAGAAAUGAGAAGCCAAACGGCACCAGCAUCUGACAUAAGGAGAAAGAUUGAUGCAUGUGAAGCAGUAACUCAUGAAGUCGUAAGAAUAAUUCUGGAGAGAAUAAGUGGUGUUGAUGGAGAUUUUGAUGCAGAGCGUGAAAGAACUCGUUUACGUGGACUUUUACAGCGUGACUAUGCCUUGUCCAUAUAUGGCUCGACCGCGGCAUCAAACCACAGCCAACGAUCCUCAGCUUCACAGCUUACCGCAAAGCGAGCCGAAGCAGCAGCGGAAUUAGCAGCAAAAGAGGCAGAAUAUGAGGUUGUAUUAGAGGAACAAAGACAAAGAGAAAGGAUAAAGGCUCUAGAGGAGGAGCACAAGGAAAAAAUGGCAGCGCAAAAUUCAGAGCUGGAACGCUUAAGAGCGCAGAAGGAAGUAAAAGCGGCUCGAGCCAGGUUGGAAGCAUAUGAUAGAGAGUUAUCACUGGUGGAGGAUGAACAGUCAAUAAAAGGCGAACCAGUUAGCCCAAACUUCACACCCAAACAGCCCAUACCAGCUCUCCCCUUCAUUCCUGUGCAAACAGCUCACUCGGAUGUCUCUGAGCUAGCACAAGCAGUGCAAGACAGUAUAAAAAUGAACAAACUUCCCACGCCAGAACCAACAGUGUUUAGUGGUGAUCCAAUAAAUUUCAUAGAGUGGAAAUCCACAUUCAUGUCCCUGAUUGAACGAAAGGGCCUCUCAGCGGCAGAUAAAAUGUACUACUUAAAAAGAUAUGUAACUGGGUCGGCUCGCAAAUGUCUUGAAGGAACUUUCUUCAGAAACGAUGAAGAGGCAUACAAAGAUGCUUGGGAUAAACUAAACCAAAGAUACGGUCAACCUUUCAUGAUACAAAAGGCAUUUAGAGAGAAGCUAGCGAAUUGGCCAAAGGUGCAGUCCAGAGACGCUGAUGGAUUAAGGAACCUUGCAGAUUUCAUAAAUGCAUGCAAGCUUGCUAUGCCUCACGUAAAGGGACUACAAAUACUCAACGACUGCGAAGAAAACCAAAGAUUGUUGCACAAACUACCGGACUGGAUAAAUGCAAGAUGGAAUAGACAGGUAACAAAAACUUUGAUGGAGGGUGGUGAGUUUCCAAGUUUUUGUGAUUUUGCUUCCUUCCUCUCAUUAGAAGCGGAAGUUGCUUGCAACCCAGUCACCUCCAUUCACGCACUUCGCCGCACUGAAACAAAUAUUGAUAAAAGGAGUACAAGGGUAAUCAGUGGCAGUAAAGCAGGUGUAUUUAACACAAAUGCAACUGUACAAAGUGACAAACGGACAAUAACAAAGACACCUAACAGUUCUCCAUGCAUGUUGUGCCAGGAUGUACAUCAGCUUCACAAGUGCUCAGACUUCUUAAAGAUGUCUCUAGAAAAUAGAAAGAAAUAUGUGAGAGACAAUAAACUUUGUUAUGGCUGUCUGAAACAAGGACACAGUGCUAAGGACUGCAGACGCCGCCUCACUUGCGAAACCUGCACAAAGAGACAUCCUGUGUGUCUUCAUGAUGAAAACUACAGUAACGGUUUGCAAAGACAAACACGUGGGAGUACGGAGAAUGCAAAUCAAGGUAACUCACCUGAAACUGCAACAGCCAUGUCACUUAAUGUUGCCAGAUCAGAACAGACUGUCAGCACCUCAAUGAUAGUCCCAGUAUGGCUGUCAACCACCACCAAUCCACUCAAGGAAAAAUUGGUCUAUGCAUUAUUAGACACUCAGAGCGAUGCUGUCUUUGUGGAUCAGGAUGUAACGCAGGAGCUGCAGGCAGAUGUUUGUCCAGUAAAACUGAAAUUGACUACCAUGAUGGGUAAAAAUGCUGUCGUAAGUAGUGGAAGGGUGUCUGAUCUCUUGGUGAGAGGUUACAACUCAGCCACAGUCAUAAAGCUCCCCACGGCAUACUCCAAGGAUUGCUUACCUGCUAACAGGGAACACAUACCCACAUGUGAAACAGCCAAACAGUGGAGUCAUUUACUGCCUAUUGUAGAUGAGAUCCCUCCACUCCUCAGUUGUGAAGUGGGUCUCCUUAUAGGUUACACCUGUCCCAGGGCUCUUGCACCUAAACGAAUAAUCUUAGGAAAAGAUGGUGAGCCCUAUGCUAUUCGCACGGACUUAGGAUGGAGCAUAGUAGGCAACGCAGCGCUUUGCAAUGAAACGGAUAUAGACAGCAGCCUCUGCCACAGAGUCACAGUUAAAGAAAUCCCUCACUCCACUCCAGCAGAUGCAAUACUUGCUCUGGAAAGAGAUUUCAAAGAGACGGACAGAAACGAAAAGACUGUAUCACAAGAGGAUUUAAUAUUCCUCCAGAAGCUUAAGCAAGGCAUAACACAGACGGAAACAGGACAUUUGGAGAUGCCAUUGCCAUUUAGAGAAAAGCCACAAAUGCCAGAUAACAGACAACUUGCUGAAACCAGACUAAACCAGCUCAAACGCAAACUCAUGAAAGACGAAAAAUACAAGGAGGAUUACAGGAAAUACAUGAAUGACAUCAUUGAAAGAGGUGAUGCAGAAGAGACUGAUGAUAUCGGACUCCCUGGCAAGACAUGGUACAUACCACACCAUGGCAUCUAUCAUCCAAAGAAACCUGACAGGUUACGUGUGGUCUUCGACUGUUCCGCCAAACACAAAGGUACCUGUCUUAAUGAACAUUUACUGAUUGGCCCCGACAUGAUCAACAGUCUUAUGGGUGUUCUUGUGCGCUUCAGACAGCACCAAAUAGCGCUGAUGUGUGACAUCGAGAAAAUGUUCCACCAGUUUCAGGUCAAAGAAAGCGAUCGCAAUUACUUGCGCUUCUUAUGGUGGAAAGAUGGUGACAUAAACAGCCAACCGCAAGCAUACAGAAUGACAGUUCAUCUCUUUGGCGCUGUUUCGUCACCUGGUUGUGCGAACUAUGGACUGAAACAUUUAGCCAAAGAGAACAGCCUUGCAUAUCCUGCGGGCUCACGGUUCAUAAAAAGAGACUUCUACGUAGAUGACGGCGUCACCAGCGCAGAGACAGUCAAGGAUGCUAUACAACUGGCAAAAGAAGCACGUGAAUUGUGUGCAAAGGGUGGAUUAAGGUUACACAAGUUUGUGUCCAACAACAUCAACGUUCUGAAUAGUAUUCCGACCUCAGAGCAUGCCACAGAUACAAAAACAAAGGACUUGACAUUUAAUGAAGCACAGACUGAAAGAGCACUUGGCAUUUACUGGAACGUGGAGGAAGAUUGCUUCACGUUCAACAUCGCACUAAAAGACCAACCACCAACCCGGCGGGGCAUCCUAUCCACAGUUGCGGCAAUAUAUGACCCCCUUGGAUUCAUAGCUCCUUUCGUGCUCAAUGGCAAAGGAAUCCUCCAAGAAAUGUGCCGCCAAGGAACCAAUUGGGACGACCCGAUACCAGAGCAUCUCAGGCCACGGUGGGAGCGCUGGAAGGGAGAUCUUCACAAUUUGAGAAAAUUACAAAUAAGCAGAUGUUAUGUUCCUGCAGAUUUUGGAGAUGUGGUGAAAAGAGAAUUACAUCACUUUUCUGACGCAAGCACCACAGGAUAUGGAGAAUGUUCUUAUCUCAGACUCUUAAACAAAGACAAGGAAGUUCAUUGUGCCUUCAUUAUGGGCAAAGCACGUGUCUCACCCACAAAAAUCACCACAAUCCCAAGGCUGGAACUUACCGCAGCCACAGUGUCAGUCACCGUGAGCAACAUGCUGAGAGAGGAACUACUUUAUGACAAUGUCGAAGAGUUCUUUUGGACUGACUCUAAAGUGACUCUAGGAUACCUAAAUAAUGAGGCAAGGCGUUUUCACACCUUUGUCGCGAAUAGAGUGCAGAAAAUCCGCAACAAUACCACACCACAACAAUGGUUUCAUGUGCCUACUGCCGAAAACCCAGCAGACAUGGCUUCCAGGGGCAUGUCAGUAAACGAACUACUCUCAUCCAAUUGGCUUACUGGCCCUAAAUUCCUAUGGGAAAGAAAAAUACAACACCCACCAAAGGAAAAUAUUGAACUCCUAGUAGGAGACCCAGAAGUGAAAAAGGUGCAGACACUAAGUACACAAACUGCUGAACAUGCAAGCCUUAGUGACCGCCUCAGAAAGUUCUCAUCCUGGUCCCGCGCAGUCAGUGCAGUAGCACGUGUCAGAUGA
rnacentral:lncRNA from 1 species